CAGUCGCCGCGGUAAUACGAAGGGGGCUAGCGUUGUUCGGAAUUACUGGGCGUAAAGCGCACGUAGGCGGAUAUUUAAGUCAGGGGUGAAAUCCCGCAGCUUAACUGCGGAACUGCCUUGAUACUGGGUAUCUUGAGUAUGGAAGAGGUUAGUGGAAUUGCGAGUGUAGAGGUGAAAUUCGUAGAUAUUCGCAGGAACACCAGUGGCGAAGGCGGCUAACUGGUCCAUAACUGACGCUGAGGUGCGAGAGCGUGGGGAGCAAACAGGAUUAGAUACCCCCGUAGUCCCUGUCUCUUAUACA
rnacentral:rRNA from 1 species